CCCUAGCCCUGAUAGUAGUGGAAAUCCUCCCGAUUUUUCUUCGGGAGAUUGCAACGGAUAGCAGGAAAUAGC
rnacentral:sRNA from 1 species